GUGCUUUUCUCAAGAACUGACAGACAGUUCGUAGCACAUAUACCAAAAUGGAAACCAUGAGUAAGGAUUAGUUUGGACUAUGAGCAAGGAUGAUGUGCAGAUUCAUGAAUUGUUCCAGAUUUUU
rnacentral:snRNA from 1 species